rnacentral:rRNA from 1 species
GACGAACGCUGGCGGCGCGCUUAACACAUGCAAGUCGAGCGAUGAAACUUUAACAGAACCCUUCGGGGCGAAGAUAAAGUGGAUUAGCGGCGGACGGGUGAGUAACACGUGAGUAACCUGCCUUAGACAUUGGGAUAGUCUCGGGAAACCGGGAUUAAUACCAAAUAAAAUCAUAAUGACACAUGUCAUAACGAUCAAAACUCCGGUGGUCUAAGAUGGACUCGCGUCCCAUUAGCUAGUUGGUAGAGUAAAAGCCUACCAAGGCGACGAUGGGUAGCCGGCCUGAGAGGGGGAACGGCCAGUGUGGAAAUGAGAACCGGUCAAAACUCCUGGGGGAGGAAGAGGGGGGAAUUAUUGCAAAAGGGAGGGAACUCUGAUGCAGCGACGCCGGGGAAAAGAAAAAGCUUUUCGAGUAGAAAAUUUUUUUUAUAGGGAAAGAAAAGGCGGAUACCAAAAAAAAAGCCCCGGCCAACCUCGGCC